UUCUCAGCAAGAGAAAUUGCCUGUUUCAUC
rnacentral:piRNA from 1 species